rnacentral:rRNA from 1 species
CCUACGGGUGGCAGCAGUGAGGAAUAUUGGUCAAUGGGCGGGAGCCUGAACCAGCCAAGUCGCGUGAGGGAAGACGGCCCAGCGGAUUGUAAACCUCUUUUGUCAGGGAACAAAGGCGGGUAGUCGUCCCCUGUUGAAGGUACCUGAAGAAAAAGAAUCGGCUAACUCCGUGCCAGCAGCGGCGGUAAUACGGGGGAUGCGAGGGUUAUCCGGAUUUAUUGGGUUUAAAGGGUGCGCAGGCGGAGUUUUAAGUCAGCGGUAAAAGCGGGGGGCUCAACCCCAGCGAGCCGUUGAAACUGGCGGGCUGGAGUGUGGGAGAGGUAGGCGGAAUGCGCGGUGUAGCGGUGAAAUGCUUAGAUAUCACGCAGAACCCCGAUUGCGAAGGCAGCAUACCGGUGCCAAACUGACGCUGAGGCACGAAAGCGUGGGUAUCGAACAGGAUUAGAUACCCCUGUAGUC